GUGGGGAAUCUUAGACAAUGGGGGAAACCCUGAUCUAGCCAUGCCGCGUGAGCGAUGAAGGCCUUAGGGUUGUAAAGCUCUUUCAGCUGGGAAGAUAAUGACGGUACCAGCAGAAGAAGCCCCGGCUAACUCCGUGCCAGCAGCCGCGGUAAUACGGAGGGGGCUAGCGUUGUUCGGAAUUACUGGGCGUAAAGCGCGCGUAGGCGGACCAGAAAGUUGGAGGUGAAAUCCCAGGGCUCAACCUUGGAACUGCCUUCAAAACUCCUGGUCUGGAGUUCGAGAGAGGUGAGUGGAAUGCCGAGUGUAGAGGUGAAAGUCGUAGAUAUUCGGAGGAACACCAGUGGCGAAGGCGGCUCACUGGCUCGAUACUGACGCUGAGGUGCGAAAGCGUGGGGAGCAAACAGGAUUAGAUACCCUUGUAGUCC
rnacentral:rRNA from 1 species